CAGGCUUUAUUCAUUCAUUAACUGUUAUUAGCAUUUCACGACUUAACUAGGUCGAACACGACAUCCUAUAACAGUACUAAUAAUUAUUUAACAAUUUCAAUCAAUACAUAAUGAAUGUAGAAGUAGCAGCAGAUGGAAUUAAGUAACAAUAAAUCAGACGAUAUGCCGAUAAUUAACUAGUCGGACACUGCUUUUUCCCACUUCCUUUUAGUUGAAAUGAUGUAAACUUUAGCUAAGUCGUUAAUUCCAGGCUCGGCCACAUACCGACCUCUAUCUUCAUCACUAUGCCAAAAGUUGCAAGCCUUCAUAGAAUCAUAAUAAUUUGUAUCUUCAACUACCCUUCGACCCCUCGAACUUUUGCCUUUGAAGAUUUUGAAAAGAGAGAAAGAACUAUCUGAAGAUUUCUUCUGCUUGUUGUUUCCUGCCAUUUUCACAGGAGACGUACAGACAAUGUAUUAACCUAGGAGGGUUUUUGAGGGGAUUAAGAAUAAGUUGUUUUUUGAUUUCCCAAUGGCUAUGAAGCUGUGGUGUUUAUAGUACGUUUGUAAUGGAAUCCAGGAUGGAGAAUCUACUUAGCUGAAGGCCAUCUACCUGAUUGAUGGCUGUGAUUAAAUGAAACGAAAUCACAAAUUCUGAUUGUAAAAACUUAGGCAAAGAACAUAUAUCUUGGACCGUCGAUUCGAAAGUUGGCUAAACAUAUUUAAUGGGGUUGUUUUUUAAGAAAAAAGUUGCCUUUUUUAAUCAGUGGGUGAUUCUUGAAGCACGAAAUUCCAGUCUAUAUUGUUACAAGUCCAUAUUAUUCACCUUUUGAUUUCAAAUCAAAAUGACUAAUGACUAAUUAAUGUAAUUAGCAACGCACAUAUAUAUAAUUUAAUAAUCCUUAUAUAUAUAUAUAUAUAUAUAUAUAUAUAUAUAUAUAUAUAUAUAUAUAUAUAUAUAUAUAUAUAUAUGAAAAUUGGACGGUCAAUUAAGUUUGCCUCUUAAAUUAUCUUUCAAGGUAAAAGAAAGCAGAAGAAAAGAUUAUUUUGCUAUUAUGUCAUAGAAGUUAUCUUUUGUUUUUACAUAAUGUAAGAUUGGAUUUAGUUUGACUUGUAACGUCUUGCAAAUUAUUGAUUAGAGUCAGGUGUUAGGAAGCAUCUUUAAAAUUGUCGACUCACUACAUUUACUAUAAUCUUAUUUAAUUGAUUGUGAGAUUAUAAUUGGAUGAAACCAGAAAAUCUUGGCAUGAAGAAUCAACUAAAGUUCGAUAUAACUUGCAAAAAUCAUAUUUCAAGAUAGCUAAUUAAAUAAAAGAAAAUUUGGUGGUGCCAUCUAGAAGUUUACAACGCAAAAGAUCAAAUCCUUCAAAACAUAAUGUUAAUUGCCAACUGUUUCUCAAACUUUAAUUUGAAUCGAACAUUUUAUAGGAUUCAUAAAUUUUAUCAACUUUUCACCACACAUUUUAUGAAUUUUAUCAAAAUAUAUUAAAAUCUUAUUUUUAGUUAAACCACGCAGGGGCUCAAGCGGUUGCUUAAAUGGUCUUUAAACUACCCUUAUUCUUGAUAUUAAUGUUACAUAAAAUAUAUUAUGUCGAUACACUGCAAUGCACAAAAUUUAAACAGAUCCUAUUGUAAAUUAAACAUUUGUGAAGGUGAUAAUUAUUAUCUAUUUAGUGUAAAACUGAUUAAACAACCAAAAGAAUAAAAAGAAACCUUUAGGGAAUCUUUUGAAUGUUUGAAUUCACGCAUAUAAUUGGCUUCUAAGAGCCUUUUUACUGAAAGAACAUUAUAAAAUUGAAUAAAGCUUAACAUUAUUCCCUUUGAAGCUUCCAACAUUGCCUUCAAGCUGUCUUUAGAUUCUUAAAAAAUUCUAACAUAAGAGCCAGAGAUUGUGUCUCCCUCCAACUUGUACUUCAAUCUACGGAACUCAUAUAAUCAUGGUCCAUUUGCUUUAAGAAUAUUUCUAUAUUUAAAUAGCUAGGACAUAUAUGUAGUGUGUUAUUGCUGUCUCCACAUUGAUUAAUUAAUUUAAUUAAUUACUCUAAUUAUCUUAGCUAGAAAAUGUUAUGAAUUCCACGUUAAAGCGUUAUGAAUUCCGCGUUAAAGCAAUGUCUUACACUUUGAGGCCUUACGCCUCCCGCUUCUUGGAAGUAGACCUUCGCCUUCCACCUAAAAUAUGCAAGAAAUGCCCAAAUCCUCCUAGGGAUCACAAUGAAGUUUCAUAGGAUCUUCUAGUCUUGGGGGCAGGUAGUUUACAUCUUCAUAGAUAUGUCUAUUUUAUCGAGCCUUUCAUUGAGACAAUGCUUACAUCGUUACGCCUUUCAUAUGGUUGAAUAUUACCAUACAAGAAAUUUUGGUACAUAGGACUAUUAUAGUUACUUUUGAAUAAAAAAGUUUGAAUUGCAUGUUUCCUGUUUCAUACAAAGUCUUGAUUGUUCUAGAUUAGGAAUCAUUAGGGUAAUUAAGCUAAAUUUAAUUCGUAAGGUUUAAAGCAAACUGUUUGGUAAUAUCUGACCAAAAUUAGUAAUGGAAGUUGCUCUAAAUUAGUAAUUUAAUUAAAAAAAAUGAUGUCUUUUGAAUUGAAGAUGGAUUAAGGGAGCUGCAUUUGCUCUAAAUGGUGCUUCCAAAAAUUUAAAUUCGAAAUUUGAGACACUACAUAUAUUCUUUCGCGUCUACGAUUACUUGUUUUGCAUUUAUUUUCUACUGAGAAUAAUGUCAAUAAUUUUCUAUACUUUGGUCAAUGAAAACUUACGAAAUUUUUUUCUCUUAAAUAUUUUGAAGUGAAAACCUACUUAUAAGUAAAAAUAGACAAAAUAUUUUAAAAUAAAGGAGUAAUACUGUAAAAGUUGAAAACCAAUAAAAUGCUUCAAAAGUACUUCCUCAUUUUACAAAAUUUUCAUCCACUCCUACACGUAAUUAAUUAAAAUAACUAAAAUAUUAAACAAUUAAUUUCGAAUAUUAAAUAUUCAAGAAAACUAAAAUAGAUUUAAAUUCAAAAUUAUUAUAUUACUGUAUGCAUGUAAGCAAUGUUACUCCUGCAUUAACCGGAACAAUUUUCAAUGUAUGCUAGAAGGAGUAAUAGUCCCUUAUUUGUUUUGCUUUUGUAAGUGGAAUUUUAAUGGAGUUGGAAGGUAAAUUGAGUUUGCAAUCUUUCAUGGUAAAAAUAUUAAGUUGCUAAUGUAUGUUUUUUUUCAUAAUAUCGUAGAAGACUUAGCUUUUACGGAUAUAGUUUCGUGGUAUAAACGUAACAUUGAAUUUUUAGUUCGAUUUGACUAAUAACGCUUGCAAAUUAUUGCUUAGACUUGGAUUGUUAGGAAGCAUCUUUAAAAGUGCAACAACUUUAUGCAUAUAAAAUGAAGUAAUUUGAUCAUACGAAGAAUCAAAUAAAGUUGGAUAAAGCUUGUGGUAUUCAUAUUACGAGAAUGCUAUAAUUUUCAAAAUAACUUCACUACCUUUUUUUAUUUCUUAUAUAUAAGUAAGGUUUCACUUAUAUUGGUCGAAAUUACAAAAAGUCCACAUGUUUACUAUGACCAAAGAUUAGGCCAUUCGUAUAUGGAUACAACAAAGUCUAUUUUCCAAUAUUCAUUAGUAGAUUUUAUGUUUUUUUUUCCUUUUCACAUUUUAAUGAUGUAUUAAAACAUUUGAAAUACUUUUUAGCUAACAUAAUUAGAGUAAUUUAAUUAAUUAAUGGUGAUCUUUUAGGUAGUAUUGCACUAAUAGCAUCUCACUAAAUACUCAUUUAUGUACGUAAGAAUAUUAGGUCGAACUAAUACACAUAUAGAAUGUCUAACGCCUUAAUGUUUGUGAUCGAAAGGAUAAAAACAAAAUAUUAAGCUCAUGCACAUCGUUAAUCUUCUCGUAAAACAUUAUUAAUCAUAAAAUGAGUUCUCAUUAUUACUAAGGUUAAUAUUGUUCUUCGCAUAUAGGCGACUCCUAAAUUAAUAUAGUGAGAAGCAUCGACUCACAAUAUUGAAGUUACCUUACAAUAUAAAGUUAUAAUUUAAAAUCGUUUAAUAAUUUGCAUUAGUGAUUUCAUUUUUCUUAAAUCAAAUCCACAUGGUAUGGCCAAUAGCCAUUGCCUAUUUUUUCCUGUAACUAGUUGGUAAGACCCUAAUGGCCAAUAUAAUCCUCUACUUUGUUGCACUAUCAAUUGUUUAAAUAAAUUUAGGGGUCAUAUCACACUUUUAUAGAUAUUUUGAUACAUUAUGACUCUUAAUUCAUGAGCAUACGCUAGAAAAGAAUGGAAUAAAUAACCUAAUUAUUGCUCAUAGGAAGGUACCAAUUGUCACUAGGUAAAGUGUAAUGAAAGGAGAUGUAGGGCUGAGGGUUGGUCUGGUAGUCUUGUUGUUGACUGGAUAUAUUCUCCAAUUAAUUGUGUGCGUAGAGGCCUGUUGAGCCAUGAAUCUGCAACAACUUCACACUGCAAAUUCUCCAUUCAAGUAUAUAUGACCAAAUUAAUGUCCAAUGAUCUAUAAGAUGCUCAAAGAAUCUGAUUGAAUUAUAAAUUUUAUCAAUUGGGUCGUCAUAUUUCACUGUUCAAGAUAUUUUUUUUUUCUUUUUAGUAGAAUCACCAUGGAUUUAAGUGGCGGGAUUGAAUUCAUUGUUCAUUGUUCAAGGUUUGCUUGUCAAAGGCCAAGACAAAUUCCGAGAGUUUAAACCAAUGCACCAAAGGCGUGCAGUUGUACCGCAAUUAGCUAGAAUAAAUGAAACAAUUUAUAUUUUAAAGUAAAAAAUAGUAUUAAAUAAGAAAAAAAUGUUAAACUCUCGUAUAUUGUAUUAACGUUCAUUAAAGUUUAAUAUACUAAAACGUUCUCAAGGGAAAUGUAAAGAUUAAGCAUUAAGCUACUGUGGAGUUGGUAUAAUCCACUAGGAAACAAAAAAUUAGACAACUAAAAAGAAAGAACAAUGCAAAAGUCCUAAUGAAAGAAAGCAUAAAGAAUUUUUGUUACAUAAAUAGGGAGAAUAAUAGGACUAACUUUGUGGUGUAUUUUGCAGAUUUGCUAUAAUUUCAUAUGAUCCGCAAAUCCAAUAUUCAAAUCGAGUUUCCAACUAAACCCCACUUUUUCCAUCUACCCUGAAAAGGGAAAAAAUAUACAAGUAAAAGUAGGAAGACAAGCCCUAAUCUCUAAGGGUUGUAUUGUACUUGUCCACACAAAACACGUAUCGAAUCUCGUUCGUCCAACUCGAUUUUUAUUGUACACACAAAACACCAUAUCUAAUUAGAUGGAUUUUCACAUAGAAGUUAGAUUCGUGUUAUUAAUAAACUUCUAAUACAAGCACAACUGAGUAAGAACUAGAGUCGAGUUUAGAACAUUUGCUUACUCUCGUUAUAUCAUAUUGUACCAGCCAUCUAAAAGUUUGUGUUGAUAACACAUCCAAUUAUUUCAUUGAAAAUUUGAAGGAAAAGAGAUUUUGGUGAAGAAUCAUUGAUAAUAAACAAUUGAAUGGAGUACGAAUAAAUCAAAGAUCAUGUAGUAAUAAAACAAUUAUACUACGUGUACAAUUGGGGUUGACAACCACACACAGGAGGGGGGUCCACGCUAAAUAAAAAAUCGUCGACCCUCCCUCUUGUGAGUACAUUGUCAUCUCUGGUUGUACAAUUAGAAUAAUUAAAAUUCUUUGAGAAAUGCUCAAAGAAAAAGGGAUCCUUGCAGAAAAAGAAUAACCAAUACUAUUUAGAGGACAUCCUUCAAUCUAGGCUAUAGACUACAGCUGUAAAGUAAAGCAAAAUGUACGAGUAUCUUUUGCCUAAAGAAGCUAGAGCCCUUUUUUUCAUUGUUAAAUAAGGCAUAAAUUGAAGGUUAAUUAGAGAAAAUCUUAAAUGUAACUAUUUUUAGUAUGAAGGUUUUUGUGUGAAAUUCCUUUUCUUUGGUGAUGCAUUAUUGGAGACACUAUCAGGGGUUAAUUUCUUGCAUGAAGGUUAAGCAAAACUAGUAUAAUUCUGGUUACUAAAACUAGCAGCCAAUAAUAUCUAUACGCUAAUUAUAUAAAGAUAAAUUAAGAAAUGAAGCAUAAUGCAGUUUAACUAUAUUUAGAAAUUGGGACGUGCAUUGAAUCCAAGCUUGAUUUGAUAUUUGAUAAUGUGGAAUGGACGAUAAUGAAUAGCAUUAAAACAAGUAAAAUAAAGUAAAACUUAAUUAUUCGUGGUGAUGCCUGUUCGGACAAAACUCGAAAUGUGCAUAAGAUCAUUGACAAGUAAUAAGUAGUGAACACGAGUACGUUCCACGAUGAGUAACAUUCAAUUAUAGUGUACUGUAACGUUCAAUUAUAGUGUACUAGUUAUUAUCAAAUUCGAUCAAUUGUACAAGAGUUGUUUAGUUAUUAUUCCAAUUAAACUAUGAAAGCUGCAAAAGAUUGGUUUUAUCAAAGAACGAGAUGAAUGUAUUGGAUUUUCGAUUCCACCUCUUGAUGUCUAGUUCCAAUUCUUGACUUGUGUAAAUUUGAUUAAACUACUUUGCUUGAAUUUUUUUGACACAAUGGUUGACAUCCUCUCACAUGCGGAUAAGUCCCGCAUGAAUAGAAGUCCAAAAAUGAAGCGAACGUCUCCCAUUAUGAGCAUCGGUAAACCGUUAUAUCAAAAAAAAAUUAAGUCACCAUAGCAUUGUUCUUGUAAAUUGGUGUUAUUAAUGUGUUAUCUAAUGUUCAUUUUCCUAAAUAUAAUAAACAUAUGCUUAACACAAUCCGAUCAUAUUUCUAGUCUAUAUUCAUAUGCAAAACACACAUUAAAUUACACGACUAUCACACAGGAUUGCACACGACAUAAACAUUAUUCUUAAUAUCUAUUACCCAUUAUUUAAUAUGCAGUGUUCCUAAGGUAAAAACUAUAAAUCAAUGGUUUCAUCAUCCAUCCCGUACAAAAAAAAAAAAAAAGAAGGUGUUGGCCUAUCGUUGUCAUGUCAAAAUUACACAAAAGAUUUAGAAACACCACCACCCAAGAUAAAGAACUAGAUGAAGAGCUUGAAAAUCAACAAUCUUCACUUCAAACUUCAACCCAAGCUAUAGAACUUCAAAAUCUUGAUGCAAAAAUCUUUCUUUGCCGUUUGCUAGACUAAAUUCUAUGAUUAAAUUUCAAUUUUUACAUUUAGGAUGGCUCUGGUUCAUAUAUGAGUGUCCAAAUAUUGCAAACCAAAGAGAGAUGAAAGACAGAAAAAUGAAGCAUAAUUUCUUCCUUGCGAAUGAACUAGGUGCGCACCUUUAAGGGUUCAGGGAGCAUUCCCUUAACAGUCUUUCUAGCUUCAAACGGCUAGGUGCAUGGGUUGGGCACGCAUCUGACGUGUAGGCUGUGGUGCACACAUGGAUGUGGUUUAGAGACCAAUUUGUAAACUUGAAGUUUUCUUCCCAUACAAUGUUGAUCCAUUUUCAUCUUUUUCGUCUCCUUGACUUCUCUUUACGUUCAAUUGAGCUCAAUCGCUCUCGUACAAUUUUGAUCCCUUUUCAUCUUUUUUCAUCUCCUUGACUUCUCUUUACGUCCAAUUGAGCUCAAUCGCUCUCGAAUGUUCAACCUUCAGUCCGAGCCAACUUUUGAUUGUUUACACUUUAGUUCUUAAACUUUAGUUUUCUAGCAAUUUAUUCCAUUUUUCCUCUAAUUCCAUCUUUUUCAUUGAUUGUUACCGAUCUAGUACAAUUCAAAUCAAAUCAAGCUAUUAUUCAUUAAAAUAAUCAACAAACACUCUAUAAUUUCAAUACCUCUAAGUGUAUUUUCAAUGCCUCAUUGCAUUAUUCCGAUAAAUCUUCUUUUGUAACUUUUGCUUGCUCUAGAAGGAGGUGAAAAAUUACACCACCUUUAUUCGACUUAGAUGUAGCAGAAAUAACCAGCAUCUAACACUCUCAAUUUCACUUAGAUGUACUUGUGUGCCUAGAUACAUUCUCGAGGACACAUUAUUUAUCUAAAAAAUGAACAUCAACCAUUUUUCUUGGUCCAUAGAACAUGUUUUCUCUAAAAGUAGCCUUUUGGGUGGCAUGCAAAGAUGUACUUCCCACAAAGCUCAAGCUUUUGAGCUUAGUGAAACAAUGGUCGAACCAUUUACUAGUCAAAUUUAAUCCACCAGACCACCAUAAACUCCAUCAAAAAACAGUGUGUUAAUGUCAAGGGAGACAAAGGAUAGCUAACAAAUAUCUGUCCUUUGCAUGCAUCAUAGCCUCCAUUAAAAUUUAAAAAUUAUUUAUAAAUAGAAAUAAUAAGAGGAAUAUUGAUGAAUCCCACGAAAUUUGUGAAUAAAAAUGAAUAAUGCUUAUGAAGAUGUGAGUGAAAUUUAUAAAUUGUAUCCAAAGGCUUAAUAGUUUGCAAAAGAAACAAAUAUCUCCAUGGUUGAAUGGUGAGGAUCCCAAAUUAAUCAAAAGUACAAUAUUUUUAUAAUUUUCUAAGUAUCCUGAAUCCAUUCCACGAGACAAUUGUACCGGAACCAAACAUGACAUAUCCUUAUAACAAACAUACAUGUCAAUGCUGUCCUGCCAUGCACAUCCAGAAAUUUCUAGCCUGGUUUCAAUCUUUAUAAUAGUCACGACGACCAAACCAUAAGUGCAAUGAAGGAAACCAGCUGCUUUCAAGUAAAAGAGACGAGCCUUAAGCACAGGCUUUAUUCAUUCAUUAACUGUUAUUAACAUUUCACAACUUAACCAGAUCAAACACCACAUCCUAUAACAAUACUAAGAAUUAUUUAACAAUUUCAAUCAACACAUAAUGAAUGUAGAAGUUGCAGCAGAUGGAAUUAAGUAACAAUAAAUCAGACGAUACGCCGAUAAUUAACUAGUUGGUCGCUGCUACAUUUUUCCACUUCUCUGUUGUUGAAAUGAUGUAAGUAGAAGCUAACUUGUCAAUUCCAGGCUGGGCCACAUACCGACCUCUAUCUUCAUCACUAGGCCAAACUUUGCAAGCCUUCAUAGAAUCAUAAUUUGUAUCUUCAACUACCCUUCGACCCCUCGAGCUUUUGCCUUUGAAGAUGUUGAAAAGAGAGAGAGAACCAUCUGAAGAUUUCUUCUGCCUGUUGUUUCCGGCCAUUUUUACAGGAGAGGUACAGACAAUGUAUUAACCUAGAAGGGUUUUUGAGGGGAUUAAGACUAAGUUGUUUUUUGAUUUCCCAAUGGCUAUGAAGCUGUGGUAUUUAUAGUACGUUUGUAAAGGAUUUCAGGGUGGAGAAUCUACUUAGCUGAAGGCCAUCGAUCUG
rnacentral:lncRNA from 1 species